AUUGAACGCUGGCGGCAGGCCUAACACAUGCAAGUCGAACGAGCGGCGGACGGGUGAGUAAUGUCUGGGAAACUGCCUGAUGGAGGGGGAUAACUACUGGAAACGGUAGCUAAUACCGCAUACCAUCAGAUGGUCCCAGGUGGGAUGAGCUAGUAGGUGGGGUAACGGCUCACCUAGGCGACUAUCCCUAGCUGGUCUGAGAGGAUAACAAGGCAAACUGGAACGGAGACACGGGCCAGAAGCCGACGGGAGGCAGCAGUGGGGAAUGUUGCACAAUGGGAGCAAGCCUGAUGCAGCCAUGCAGCGUGUGUGAAGAAGGCCUUGGGGGUGUAAAGCACUUUCAGCGGGGAGGCGUUACCCGCAGAAGAAGCACCGGCUAAAUCCGUGCCAGCAGACGCGGUAAUAC
rnacentral:rRNA from 1 species